rnacentral:lncRNA from 1 species
GGUCUAGGGAACUUUUCAUUUGCAUAGCAGGGGUUCCAAAACAUUUUCAUAUUAUGUCAAGUAGAUCUUCAUAACUUGAUAUAUAAAGCAAUUUUUAUAAUCUCCUUCAUGAACAUCCUUUUUGACAUCAUAUGAUUAGUUGAACUUACUGAGGAACAUAAACUAUCGAUAGAAAAAUAGUUAAAUAUCAAAAUUAGUUCUAGACCAUAUGCACAUUCUUACAAAAUGCAUGGUCCACCUCUUAAAAUGGACCUAUAUUUAAUACACAUGAAACUAGUUUAUAUCAUCCAAAUUAUGCAAUUAGGAAUAACAUAAUACUUUUUCUCAUUGAAUUUAAAGUAUUAUUUUCAUCAAGUCUUGCUAAUGUAAUGAUGAUACAGGAGAUCUUGCCACAUCAAUGUUACAUAUUUGAGUUCUAUAAACUAGGUUUCUAGAGAGCUUGGUGGGAAAAGGUCUGAUUUAUUAUGCUUUGCAAGUUCAAUUUUGAUUCAUUAGAAAGCAUAUGAGCCAGGUGUUUGUUAAACAAAAAAGAAGGAACUUAACUUUUUUAACACUGGAGUUUGAAUGAAUAUUUGACACAUUAAGCAAGAAAAUGAAGCCAUUAUCUUUAUGAAAACCCGUGGAGCAUUUAUCAACUACAAACGUUUUUAAAUCUUAUAUUAGAUUAUGUAUGGAAGUUAAACAAUUAAUCUAUGUGCCUUUAAAAAUUUAAAACAUAUUAUUAUAUGACAGGAAAGGCUCAAGAAUUUAGUGCGUGAAGUGGACUUCCGAGCCUCCCAUGUUACAACUGGCGAGAGAGCUAAAUGUCUUGGAGUGGAGAGAGAGCGAGCCUCGACAUGCACUUGAGGCAAAACCCUCCGAUGCCGCACCCAAAA